AUGUGUAAAUCUCAGAUGAGCCCACCAAAGUGUGAGGAAGGGCCAAUAUGUGCUUCAGUGUCACAGACCAAGCUGUUUAAAGUUGCUUUCAAUGAAAAGAACAAAGGUUUUGUUGGUUCAGAGAGGGCAGUCUGUACCUCUGCAACCCCUGAGGCCCCCUGGCAAGGAGCAUGCAUGGAGGAACAUCCCAACACCUCUUCAGCUUUUGGUGUUUCUCACUCAUGGCUUUCUUCCACCACAACUGUUCCUGAGGAACAGUGCCAAGACAGUGCUUCAAGGACAACUGUCUCCUCCAAACUCAUCAUUUUUGGGGAGACUCAGGAGCAGCCCAGAGUGGCACCCAGCAGACAGCACUGCCCCUCAGGGAGACCUGCACCAGCUCUGCACAUGCACAGGAAAAAGCAGAAGCUCUGGCCAGGCUCUCACACCACCACAGCUGAGGCAGGAAAGCCCAUUUGCAGGUCAGCCCAUGGGACCUCAUCCUACACAUCGGCUGUUGAAGGAUGAAAUGAAGAUUUCGGAUUCCAGCAGUCUCUGUCCUGUAACCUUUUAUUAACAUCAUUAUUUAUUCAGAAAACAGUUUUGAAAUAAAUUGUUUUGUAACAGUAGGAACUUUGAACUU
rnacentral:lncRNA from 1 species